UUCUUUUUACUUCAACAUCAUCUUAAUAAAAGUAUUAAAUCUGUUCUUAUCAGUUUAAUAUCUGAUAUGUCCUUUAUUUAAGGACUGUAUAUUAAAUUGAUUUUUGAAACAGGGGGAUGGAAUAGGAGCUUGCUCUAUCCACCCCAUGUAUUGACCUGGUAUUGCAGUGCUUCCAGGAACAGUGCAUUUCCU